rnacentral:rRNA from 1 species
UGGGGAAUUUUGGACAAUGGGGGAAACCCUGAUCCAGCCAUCCCGCGUGUGCGAUGAAGGCCUUCGGGUUGUAAAGCACUUUUGGCAGGAAAGAAACGUCGCGGGUUAAUACCCCGCGAAACUGACGGUACCUGCAGAAUAAGCACCGGCUAACUACGUGCCAGCAGCCGCGGUAAUACGUAGGGUGCAAGCGUUAAUCGGAAUUACUGGGCGUAAAGCGUGCGCAGGCGGUUCGGAAAGAAAGAUGUGAAAUCCCAGAGCUUAACUUUGGAACUGCAUUUUUAACUACCGGGCUAGAGUGUGUCAGAGGGAGGUGGAAUUCCGCGUGUAGCAGUGAAAUGCGUAGAUAUGCGGAGGAACACCGAUGGCGAAGGCAGCCUCCUGGGAUAACACUGACGCUCAUGCACGAAAAGCGUGGGGAGCAAACAGGAUUAGAUACCCUGGUAGUCCACGCCCUAAACGAUGUCAACUAGCUGUUGGGGCCUUCGGGCCUUGGUAGCGCAGCUAACGCGUGAAGUUGACCGCCUGGGGAGUACGGUCGCAAGAUUAAAACUUAAAUGAAAUUGACGGGGGUCAUAGCUGUUUCCU